rnacentral:rRNA from 1 species
GUUUGGUUAAGUUAGAAAGGGCGCACGGUGGAUGCCUUGACACUAGGAGUCGAUGAAGGACGGGACUAACGCCGAUAUGCUUCGGGGAGCUGUAAGUAAGCUUUGAUCCGAAGAUUUCCGAAUGGGGAAACCCACCAUACGUAAUGGUAUGGUAUCCUUAYCUGAAUACAUAGGGUAAGGAAGACAGACCCAGGGAACUGAAACAUCUAAGUACCUGGAGGAAGAGAAAGCAAAUGCGAUUUCCUGAGUAGCGGCGAGCGAAACGGAACAUAGCCCAAACCAAGAGGCUUGCCUCUUGGGGUUGUAGGACAUUCUAUACGGAGUUACAAAGGAACGAGGUAGACGAAGCGACCUGGAAAGGUCCGUCGUAGAGGGUAACAACCCCGUAGUCGAAACUUCGUUCUCUCUUGAAUGUAUCCUGAGUACG